rnacentral:rRNA from 1 species
UACAGAGGUCCCAAGCGUUGUUCGGAUUCAUUGGGCGUAAAGGGUGCGUAGGUGGCAUGGUUAGUCGGGUGUGAAAUCCCGGGGCUCAACCCCGGAACUGCACUCGAUACUGCCGUGCUGGAGUACUGGAGAGGAGACUGGAAUUUACGGUGUAGCAGUGAAAUGCGUAGAUAUCGAAGGAAGACCGGUGGCGAAAGCUAGUCUCUGGACAGUCACUGACACUGAGGCACGAAGGCUAGGGGAGCAAACGGG